GACGAACGCUGGCGGCGUGCCUAAUACAUGCAAGUUGAGCGAUGAAGAUUGGUGCUUGCACCAAUUUGAAGAGCAGCGAACGGGUGAGUAACGCGUGGGGAAUCUGCCUUUGAGCGGGGGACAACAUUUGGAAACGAAUGCUAAUACCGCAUAAUAACUUUAAACAUAAGUUUUAAGUUUGAAAGAUGCAAUUGCAUCACUCAAAGAUGAUCCCGCGUUGUAUUAGCUAGUUGGUGAGGUAAAGGCUCACCAAGGCGAUGAUACAUAGCCGACCUGAGAGGGUGAUCGGCCACAUUGGGACUGAGACACGGCCCAAACUCCUACGGGAGGCAGCAGUAGGGAAUCUUCGGCAAUGGACGAAAGUCUGACCGAGCAACGCCGCGUGAGUGAAUAAGGUUUUCGGAUCGUAAAACUCUGUUGGUAGAGAAGAACGUUGGUGAGAGUGGAAAGCUCAUCAAGUGACGGUAACUACCCAGAAAGGGACGGCUAACUACGUG
rnacentral:rRNA from 1 species